AAACUGGACUACAUCCAACUUCAACGAAACUCCCAACAGUUCCCUCAGCCAACAAAGCCCUCCGUAGCGUCUGUUUACUUCUCUGCAUGAGCAGAAUGGAAGACCUCCCCAUCUGCGUCAUGGCUUCUGUUCACAACUCACUUGUCUUUAAGUAUAUGUUGUUUUAAUUUUUGUGUGCUGAUGUUAUACGCGUAUGGAAAUGCUGUUAAAACCUUCUGUAUGCUGGAUUCCAGUGAUCAUGGAGAAUGUGUCAAAGUCUUCAAAUUAAAAUAAUAGUCUUAAGUUUUUUUACUGUUUAUAUUCUUUUUGCUGUCUGUAUUUCAGUUAUGAAGUGUAGUCUUUAAUAAACAGCUUUUCCAUCCCA